rnacentral:rRNA from 1 species
UACGGGAGGGGCUAGUGUUAUUCGGCAUGAUUGGGCGUAAAGCGCAUGUAGGCUGCAAUUUAAGUUUUAAGUCAAAGCCCUAAGUUUAACUUAGGUAAAUGAUUUUUUAUACUGAAUUUGCUAAGAGUUAUAUUAAGGAUUGUAGAAUUUUUUGGAGAAAGCGAUAAAAUGUAGAUCUCAGAAAGAAUACCAACGGCGAAGGCAGCAAUCUAGAUAUAUACUGACGUAUAAUGCGAAGGUAUGGGGAGCAAACAGG